GUGGUCAUAGUCGUUUGUCGAUGCUCAAGAAGCAAAAAUUUUCCUCGACACCAGUCUCCAAUCUUGAAGAAAGGAAGGAGGACACUGGGCUUUUAACUCUUGAAGAAGUUAUGAAGGCUAGUAAUGUAGAUAUUAAUAAGGAGGUUACUAAGUUUGAAGCUUUGUUGCUGACAAUAGAAGUUGCUUCCAGGAAGUGGGAGGAAAAGGAGAAACAAAAGGGUAGUUCAAGAUCCAAGAAAAUCCUAAUCCCACCACUACCAGACCCGCCUCAAGAAUUCAGGAAAAAGAUUGAAAUUGAUGCAGAGGAUGGUCACAGUCGUUUGUCGAUGCCCAAGAAGCAAACAUUUUCGAGUUCUUCAAAGAAGAUGAAAGGGAAAAUGAUCAUAAAAAAUAAUAAGCAUUUGGAAGUGAAGAUCAUCGAGCCCAAUCUUGAAAUGAUUUUCAAUCAAUGAAAGAUGGCGAAGGCGAGCGAGAAUGCAUCCUUAUCGUAUGUGUUUUAUCAUUCGCUGGAAUACUCUUUUAAUUGACUUAAGGCCGGUGCUGUAAUUCAAGCAUGUUCUAAUAGAAGCAAUCAAGUUGGAGACGUUGAAUCCACUCAUCAGUCCACGAAUGAUCAAUAUUAGUAAAUGGUGAAGAUUUCUUGUUCUUGGAGAUUAAUCACAUGCACUUCUAAAAAAAAA
rnacentral:misc_RNA from 1 species